UACGAAGGGGGCUAGCGUUGCUCGGAGUGACUGGGCGUAAAGGGUGCGUAGGCGGCGCGGUAAGUCGGGUGUGAAAUCUCGGGGCUUAACUCCGAAACUGCAUUCGAUACUGCCGUGCUUGAGGACUGGAGAGGAGACUGGAAUUUACGGUGUAGCGGUGAAAUGCGUAGAUAUCGUAAGGAAGACCAGUGGCGAAGGCGGGUCUCUGGACAGUUCCUGACGCUGAGGCACGAAGGUCAGGGGAGCAAACGGG
rnacentral:rRNA from 1 species